rnacentral:rRNA from 1 species
AUGGGAACGCGAAGAACCUUACCUACUCUUGACAUCCAGAGAACUUUCCAGAGAUGGAUUGGUGCCUUCGGGAACUCUGAGACAGGUGCUGCAUGGCUGUCGUCAGCUCGUGUUGUGAAAUGUUGGGUUAAGUCCCGCAACGAGCGCAACCCUUAUCCUUUGUUGCCAGCGGUUAGGCCGGGAACUCAAAGGAGACUGCCAGUGAUAAACUGGAGGAAGGUGGGGAUGACGUCAAGUCAUCAUGGCCCUUACGAGUAGGGCUACACACGUGCUACAAUGGCGCAUACAAAGAGAAGCGACCUCGCGAGAGCAAGCGGACCUCAUAAAGUGCGUCGUAGUCCGGAUUGGAGUCUGCAACUCGACUCCAUGAAGUCGGAAUCGCUAGUAAUCGUAGAUCAGAAUGCUACGGUGAAUACGUUCCCGGGUCUUGUACACACCG